GGCUUCUUUUGGGCAUAAUGAAAGUGUUCUGGAAUUAGACAGUGGUGAUGGCUGCUCAACUGUGAAUGGACUAAAACCCACUGAAGUGUAUACUUUAAAGGGUGC